GACCCCAUAGUUCAAGCGGAUAGAACGAUAGCCUCCUAAGCUUUAGAUCCAGGUUCGAGUCCUGGUGGGGUCA
rnacentral:tRNA from 1 species